rnacentral:rRNA from 1 species
GACUCUUGGCAAUGAAUAUUUCUUUCUCUUGUUAUGAAAUGAAGAACACAGAAAAAUGCAAAACUUGGCGUGAAUUACAUAAUCAUGUUAAUCAUUGAGUUUUUGAGUGAAAUUUUUGUUUGAGGCCUU